GAUGAAGAACGCAGCGAAACGCGAUAUGUAAUGUGAAUUGCAGAAUUCAGUGAAUCAUCGAAUCUUUGAACGCACAUGGCGCCUUCCAGUAUCCUGGGAGGCAUGCCUGUCCGAGCGUCGUUUCAACCCUCGAGCCCCCGUGGCCCGGCGUUGGGGAUCUGCCCAGGCAGUCCCCGAAAACCAGUGGCGGACCCGUUACAGGCCCUUCCCUUGCGUAGUAGCAUUCGCCUCGCAUCGGGAGCCGGCGGGCUUCCAGCCUCUAAACCCCCAUCAAGUCCGCCCCGGCGGCACCAAGGUUGACCUCGGAUCAGGUAGGAAUACCCGCUGAACUUAAGCAUAUCAAUAAGCGGAGG
rnacentral:misc_RNA from 1 species